GGCAGCAAACUACCUAGACAUCAAAGGUUUGCUUGAUGUUACAUGCAAGACUGUUGCCAAUAUGAUCAAGGGGAAAACUCCUGAGGAGAUUCGUAAGACCUUCAAUAUCAAAAAUGACUUUACUGAAGAGGAGGAAGCCCAGGUACGCAAGGAGAACCAGUGGUGUGAAGAGAAGUGAAACGUUGUGCCUGACACUGUAACACUAUAAGGAUUGUUCCAAAUACUAGUUGCACUGUUCUGUUUAUAAUUGUUAAUAUUAGACAAACAGUAGACAAAUGCAGCAGCAAAUCAGUUGUACUAGCAUAAUAUUGUUCUCAUUGCAUGUGUAGUUUCAGUACAGAUUCCAAACCAAUGGCUGAAUUUCUUCUAGUCUGAGCAAAUAUUCUGAAUAAAAUGGAACUGUGGGUUCUGUGUAGAAAGUUGACAUUUUGAGCUUUCCCUCUUUUUUGUAAAGUGAUUUCUCCCUAGUUUAUUGUCCAUUUGACGUUAGUGAGCUUUUAAAAGUUGGCAUUGUAAAUAAAACAACUUGCAAAAAGUUUUCUGAAAUAGAAUUAACAAAAUAUUAUCUUUAUUCCGAAGUUGGAAACUGGAAAAAGGCUGCUUGAGAUAACUGUUCCAAGUGGGGUUAUUUAGGAUGUCUUCCAGCCUCCAGAGUCAAGCAGAAUCACUGGUAUAGAUAGACCUGUAUGUAGCAGAGCUCCCUUAGUUGGACCUGAGGUCUUAUUUUAUUUGUUUUUAAAUUUUUAAUCUCAGCCUUGAGUAUGUUGCCUAGAGACUCAGUAACUACCAAGUUUGUGGUUUGGGAGAGAAAUGUAACUAGACAGUUUGUUAGCUUUUCAAUUAAAGACGACACUUAAUUCA